GCGUUGUCCGGAUUUAUUGGGCGUAAAGAGCUCGUAUGCGGUUCGGUAAGUCGGGUGUGAAAACUCUAGGCUCAACCUGGAGAUGCCACUCGAUACUGCUGUGACUCGAGUCUGGUAGGGGAUCGCGGAAUUCCUGGUGUAGCGGUGAAAUGCACAGAUAUCAGGAGGAACACCGGUGGAGAAGGCGGCGAUCUGGGCCAGUACUGAAGCUGAGGAGCGAAAGCGU
rnacentral:rRNA from 1 species